AUACGUAGGGGACGAGCGUUGUCCGGAAUUACUGGGCGUAAAGGGCGCGCAGGCGGAUAUUUAAGUCAGCUGUAAAAGGCAUGAGCUCAACUCAUGUAUGCGGUUGCAACCGGGUAUCUAGAGUGCUGGUGAGGUAGGCGGAAUUCCCGGGGUUGCGGUGAAAUGCGUAGAUAUCGGGAAGAACACCGGUGGCGAAGGCGGCUUACUGGCCAGCAACUGACGCUGAGGCGCGAAAGCCAGGGGAGCGAACGGGAUUAGAUACCCCGGUAGUCCUGGCCGUAAACGAUGAAUGCUAGGUGUGGGUGUCGAGAGGCAUCCGUGCCGGAGUUAACGCGAUAAGCAUUCCGCCUGGGGAGUACGAUCGCAAGAUUGAAACUCAAAGGAAUUGACGGGG
rnacentral:rRNA from 1 species